UGGUCACAUCACAGUGAAACACCAGUUCCUGUAUGAUCACUGAAGUUAAGCAAUGUUGAUCCUGGUCAAUACCUAGAUGGGUCACCACUUGAGAAUACCAGAUGCUGUAUG